UCUCCGUAGGUGAACCUGCGGAGGGAUCAUUACAGAGUUCAUGCCCUACCGGGUAGAUCUCCCACCCUAUGUUAUUAUUACCUUGUUGCUUUGGCGGGCCGUUAGGCUCCGGCCCGACUACCGGCCCCGGCUGGUAAGCGCCCGCCAGAGGACCCAAAACCCUGAACAUUAGUGUCGUCUGAGUACAUAUAAUAGUUAAAACUUUCAACAACGGAUCUCUUGGUUCUG
rnacentral:misc_RNA from 1 species